GCCUCAACCUCUGUGGUGCAGGAUCAGCUGUCAAGAAACAUUGUCUGGGAUGAGCUGUUUGGAUUCAGAUUAUCAACCAAACGUUAAUUAUUCUUCUGGCUAAAGCCUCAGCAGCUAGGCUGGAUUAUAUAAAUGCAAAGAAAGAAUAAUACUGGAAACCUGGAGCUGGCUGAUUAAGAGACAUUUGAAGAGCUCUGUCCAAAUAACUACCUUCCUGACCGAAGGACCCCAAGGAGCCAAGAGGAGCUGCUCGUGUUUCUGCCCUGUACGCAGAAUGAAAUGCAGAAAUUGAGGUAGAGCUGGAAGAGGGGAAGACGAAACAUCCCAACUUAAUUUCUUUAUAAUGGUCUGAUGGAGCGUCUGACAUGUGAAUCCUCACUGUCCCUGCUCUCCAGCCCGACUUCAAUGACUGCUUUUAACAAACAGACUCCUCCAGACAGGGAAAUUCUGUUACCUUGUCCAAACCUGCUCAAAUACUUUGAGCUCCCAAGUUCUACCUUUAGCAGAGGGUUUUGGCAAAAUGCAGGAGAGGCGCAUACUUUGAACUGGAGGUAGACUGAAAAACAGCCCCUUGAUCAUCAGUGAUGUCUUUAUCCACUGAACCAGAACUGGGUUUCGUAAACCCUUACACCCAUAAUUUCUUGAUCUCCUCUCAAGGUGCCAGCCAGCCCCAGUGAAGCAGGUUGCUUUCAAAAAGUUCAUACCCCUGCGCCCCUGCAGCCCUGCAAUAUGCAUUAUAAGUAGCUUAUCAGUGACCACAGAUUAGUGGGGUGAUAUUCCCUGUGGAAAUCUUUGAGCUUCCACAGCCUUCUCUCAUUACAGAGGCUAUCAGGUCUGCAUUGCUUUGCGUUCUCUCACUGAGGGGACUUUACAUUAACUCUAUUCAGGGUUCCUGAGCUAUGUCUCUGAGCAGAUCGCAGGCAGAAUAGGAUGCUUAUUCCCAGUGUCUGGCAGGGAAGGGGAGCCCUGCCAUGGCAGCUAGGUGCCCCAGUGUCCCCAAGCCAGGGCUGGCAGCUGAGGCAGGGUGGGCUCCAGCCAAGCACACCCCACACAGGAGCUUUGCUCCCUGUGACUUCUGCCCAAAUGCAUAAGUCCUAACUGGAAAUUAAAAGCCUGUCCCAUCGUAGUCUUCAGGGGUGAAUUUCAGAGGCUCCAACGCUCGCUAAUUAACAGGAUCUGUCCUUCCUCUCCUUGUUGCACUAGCUGUGGUAUUUUUAAAGCUUUUUAUUAAAAAUUAAUUUCUUUA